AACUUUUCAUUUUGCCUCCAAAAACAUUCUCUCCUAACUCUUUCGCUUAAUACUCUUCCGCCAAAUACUCUCCAAACAUCAUCUCUCACCGAUUACUCUUCUCCGCCGAAUCCACUCACGCCGUCGAACCCACUCUCACCGUCAAACCCAGCCACGCUCUCUUCUUCGUUCGUCGGCCACAGUUCAUGGAUUCAGAGUUGAAGUCUUCGCCGGAUUCUUCGAAGAUAGGUCAAUAGGAAGUGCUUCACAGACAAACUCAAGUCUCUUCAACUAAGGUAAAGCGCAAGCUCGAAGAAAAAGAGUAAGCAAUCUUCAAAAGGUAAAGCACGUGGUAAGCGAAAACUGACAGUUGAAAUUAAGGGGGACUUUGCGCUUCUUGUUUGGUCAAGAAGAUUUAUCUUGGUAUUCCAUGAGAUUUCCAUGACCAGAGCUCCGCUUUCAAUGAUGGAGUUAGCAACAGAGCUUUUGAGAUGUGGAGCCACUGUUUCAGCUGUUGCACUUAGCAGGAAGGGUGGUUUGUUGUCAGAGCUUUCUAGAAGACGGAUCAAGGUGUUGGAGGAUAAAGUAGAGCUCAGCUUCAAAACUGCAAUGAAAGCUGAUCUCGUAAUUGCUGGUUCAGCUGUAUGUGCAUCAUGGUAGGAUAUGCAUGAUUGGAGUUGAAGUUUAAAACAUGAAAUAUUGGAAUGGUUGUCAUUCGUAGAAACAAGAUAUGAAACUAAGCCAUUCUUCAAUUUUGUAAAUAGGUUAUUUAUCAAACAAAAUAUUUUCCUCCCUGCUCAGAUAAAUCCAUUUGUUUAUGGUUGCAGAUAAAGACACUCGGAAUGCUUAGGCUCCGGUUCGAAUCAUUGCCUGAUGCUUUCAGCAAAUUCUGAUGUCUCUCUUAUGAAAAUAUUGGAGAUGAAGCAGUACAGGAUGAAGGAUUUGAGACUAACCUCAUUGGAUCUGAAGAUAUAGAACUCAAUAUUUCUCUUGUUUUUUAGAAGAUUGAGAAUUUUGCUCAGAGGGUAUCUAUUUGCUAUAUAUGGUAUCUGAGCUCAUAAAAUCAGGAAAAACAAUGUUUAAGGAUCUUUAUAAUGAAUUUUAAGAGAAAUUGAUUAUGAUUCACCGGAGCAAGUCGAAAAAUGGCAAGAAGAAAUCAAAGAAUUGUGUGCACUUGAUGCAUCAAAUUAGGAAGCCAACACUCUUCUGCAAAAUGCUCGAUAUGUACUUCAGCUGAGCCGUAAUGAUUAAUGAUGGUAGUUGCCCUGUGUCUAUAUUCAUGUAUAAUCUGUCACCCCCAAACUUUAAUUAGGUAAAAAGAAUACUUCAAUAGAAGAUAUGAGAAUGUGUCAACUCUGGGAAUACUUGGCCAGUUCUGGAUCCAAUUCAUUUUUGUUGGAUUGUGUUUGGGUUUUUAUCAUUAGAUUAAAAAUUUAAUUUGAAAUAUAUUCUCAUGAGUAAUGACUGAUUAAGUUGUAGCAUCUUAGUUUGAAGGAUGAAAUUUCAAGAACAAGACCAUUGUUUUUUGAGUUUUGCAAGUGUUGCAUGGUAAAAGCUUGCAUCGUAGCUGAAUCUGUGCAUGUCUCAAGUUCCAAAGACAGAAAUCCGACAUUUUCCUAUAUAGUGGAUGAUAAUUUCGGAAAACAAGAAGCAUUUAUUUUGCCUAGCUAAGUGAUUGUAGCUAUAGGUUCAGCGCUUUUCGUUCGUGAAAUGUGGUUACUACUUGGUGUUGUUUUGUUGUCCUUGUUUUUUUAGGUGUUUUUUUUUAGAAAAUAUGACUAUUUGCUUUGUGAUUUGGAUUGAAGUACUCUUAGAUGGAAUGAAUGUAUUUACAAAUUUGACUAGGCAAAUUCCCUCUUUUUGUAGUACACUAAAUACCCUCUAUAUAUGUUAUGAUAUUUGUAAACAAGUGGA